rnacentral:lncRNA from 1 species
AUAAUCCAACCAAUCAUUUCAUUUGCAGAUGGGGAAAGAGAAGCUAGAGAAGGAUGGAACCUGCCUUAGAGGAAGAUGGAUAUACGGAUUGGACAGUACAUGUGGAAGGCAAUUUGGAAAUCAGACAAAGUCGAGCACAAAGCCGUGGAUACUGAGAGAGGGAGUGAGCAGUGUGUGAGACCGGCGGCAAGGGUGACCCUGGCACUUCUAAGAAGGCAGCAGCACAAUGGACUCUUCGAAAGAAGCAGU